rnacentral:tRNA from 2 species
GAACCGCUUGACUUCUGGUAAGGCCACCAGACUUUCAAUCUGAUCAGACGGGUUCGAUCCCCGUGCGGUUUGCCA